rnacentral:rRNA from 1 species
UACGUAGGUGACCAGCGUUGUCCGGAUUUACUGGGCGUAAAGAGCGCGCAGGCGGUCGUUCAAGUCGAGUGUGAAAGCCCCCGGCUCAACUGGGGAGGGUCAUUCGAUACUGAUCGACUGGAAGGCAGGAGAGGGAAGCGGAAUUCCCGGUGUAGUGGUGAAAUGCGUAGAUAUCGGGAAGAACACCCGUGGCGAAGGCGGCUCUCUGGAACAUUUCUGACGCUGAGGCUCGAAAGCGUGGGGAGCAAACAGG